rnacentral:rRNA from 3 species
CUUCCGUAGGUGAACCUGCGGAAGGAUCAUUAA